GAAAAUCUAGCCAACUUAUGUAUGAGCUACUGUACAUAGACCACACCGAGGGUCAACGAGUAGUUGAAGAUCAAUUGCCACUCCGUGUAGCAGAGAUAUCCACAAAUAUUAUUUUAAAGUUACUUGAAUUCAAUGAAGACUUAUAAAAGGAAGAAGAAUUUUUUUUCAGUUUUUGAGUACUCCAAACUCAAUACUGCAGGUUGUCUCUUGACGAACUAGUACCAUAGGUCAUCGGAAGAAAACAUCUGAUUUCAUCUUGCAGCGUCCUCCAUAUCAGGGGACCGUAACCGAUAUCAAAGGUUGUUUCUCAGACAGUAGCUUAUUGUUUCUUAGCAUGCCUUUUAUAGAAAGCAUUUAGUCUCUGGAAGCCAUCUUCCAGAUAUGAUGGCUCACAUGCAAAGGUUAUCCUGAGCCAAUUCUUGAGUCCUACAGCAACACCUGGUAAAAUUAUCAGAGAUUCUUCCUUAGCCAGCUUCGCGCAAAAGUCCAGGUCAUCUUCAAUGUCUUCUAAGAGAUUCAAAUGAAGUUGAACCAUCAAAAACAUAGAUCCUUGAGGUUUACUUGGACAAGUGAUGCAAGGAAUAUACUUGAUUCUCUCAUAACAAAUAUCUGCAUCUUCUCUUAG
rnacentral:misc_RNA from 1 species